AGCAGCCACCUUUUAAAACGCGUCAAAGCGUAACCUUAAUUCCCAAAUACCAUUAAUCUUCAUGAACCCCUAAUUUAUAAUGAAUGACUCCAUAUUUAUAUGGAAGACACCAUGCUAGGAUUAGUAACAAGAAUUUAUAAUUCUCCAAAAUGCAAACAUAAACCAACAUGGAUAGACCAUUGGUAGUUACCGAACCUAAAUUCACUGCAAUAACACCCACAAGAAAACUCUGCAGUACUUACUCGUUAACCUAACACUAGCGCAUUACAGGAAAGAUUUAAAAAAAGAGAAGGAAUUCGGCAAAUGACGGCCCCGCCUGUUUACCAAAAACAUCGCCUCUUGACUUAUAAUAAGAGGUCCAGCCUGCCCAGUGAAUUUUUAACGGCCGCGGUAUCCUAACCGCGCGAAGGUAGCAUAAUCACUUGUUCUUUAAAUGGGGACUCGUAUCAACGGCAUCACGAGGGUUUUACUGUCUCCUCUUUUUGAUCAGUGAAAUUGAUCUUCCCGUGAAGAAGCGGGAAUAAUACUAUAAGACGAGAAGACCCCAUGGAGCUUAAAACCAAAUAACAACUUAACCACUCACCCCCCUAUAAAUUUAAGCCCUGUUAUAAGGUUUUCGGUUGGGGUGACCGCGGAGUAAAGCUCAUCCUCCACGACGGAAAGAACACACUCUUUAUUUAAGAACCACAAUUCUAGAAAUUAGUAUACUAACGUUUACUGACCCGAUAAUCGAUCAACGGACCAAGUUACCCUGGGGAUAACAGCGCAAUCUACUUCAAGAGCUCAUAUCGACAAGUAGGCUUACGACCUCGAUGUUGGAUCAGGGUAUCCCGGUGGUGCAGCCGCUACCGAAGGUUCGUUUGUUCAACGAUUAAAACCCUACGUGAUCU
rnacentral:rRNA from 1 species